rnacentral:rRNA from 1 species
GACGAACGCUGGCGGCGUGCUUAACACAUGCAAGUCGAACGGAAAGGCCCUGCUUUUGUGGGGUGCUCGAGUGGCGAACGGGUGAGUAACACGUGAGUAACCUGCCCUUGACUUUGGGAUAACUUCAGGAAACUGGGGCUAAUACCGGAUAGGAGCUCCUGCUGCAUGGUGGGGGUUGGAAAGUUUCGGCGGUUGGGGAUGGACUCGCGGCUUAUCAGCUUGUUGGUGGGGUAGUGGCUUACCAAGGCUUUGACGGGUAGCCGGCCUGGGAGGGUGACCGGCCACAUUGGGACUGCGAUACGGCCCAGACUCCUACGGGAGGCAGCAGUGGGGAAUAUUGCACAAUGGGCGGAAGCCUGAUGCAGCAACGCCGCGUGCGGGAUGACGGCCUUCGGGUUGUAAACCGCUUUCGCCUGUGACGAAGCGUGAGUGACGGUAAUGGGUAAGGAAGCACCGGCUAACUACGUG